UGCCAGCAGCCGCGGUAAUACGGAGGGGGCUAGCGUUGUUCGGAAUUACUGGGCGUAAAGCGCGCGUAGGCGGUUCGGCAAGUUAGGUGUGAAAGCCCGGGGCUCAACCCCGGAACUGCACUUAAAACUGCUGGGCUAGAGGCCGAGAGAGGUGAGUGGAAUUCCCAGUGUAGAGGUGAAAUUCGUAGAUAUUGGGAAGAACACCAGUGGCGAAGGCGGCUCACUGGCUCGGAUCUGACGCUGAGGUGCGAAAGCGUGGGGAGCAAACAGGAUUAGAUA
rnacentral:rRNA from 1 species